rnacentral:rRNA from 1 species
UACGUAGGCAGCAAGCGUUGUUCGGAAUUACUGGGCGUAAAGAGUGUGUAGGCGGUGCUCUAAGUCUGUUGUGAAAUCUCCCGGCUUAACUGGGAGGGUGCGGCGGAGACUGGAGUGCUAGAGUGUGGGAGAGGUAAGCGGAAUUCCUGGUGUAGCGGUGAAAUGCGUAGAUAUCAGGAGGAACACCGGUGGCGAAGGCGGUUCUCUGGGAAUGUCCUGACGCUGAGGAGCGAAAGUGUGGGGAGCGAACAGG